CACGCCACGUCACCCGUCUCCAGCACACACAAAUAGAUACAAUUAAUCUAGGUCGUUAGUUUCUUAGAUCAACGACCCACAAUUUUUUCUUUUAAGUCGAAGCACCCUGUAGAUUUAAUCAUAGCCGUUGUUCACAAGAAUCCAACGGCUGCCAAAAUUCUCUAUAAAAACCAUUUAAGCCCCAAAUUGUCAGGAGAAUUGAUCAAAAACUGUCCAAAUCCCUUCACCUAAGCUUAACCUAAAGACGGCCUCCAAAUUCCAAAAGCCACUAACACUCCCUCUCAGCCGACCGUCCUAAUUUCCCAAAAUUCUCUCUACUUUCCUUAUGCCCAACUCGUUAAUCACCAAAAUAUUGUACAAAUUUGUGCAAGGUCGUCUCAAUCGAAGCCUGAAACACUCACCUUGUCUCUAUUCUACGAAUCCCGAUUGUUUAUUUCCCCUUUCAUUGAUAGAAUUCGAAAUCCCAAAAUCUGAACCUAAGACCAAACGAAUGAAAAUGAAACUUUAAAUCUCUCGAUUUCUCUUAUGCUCUAUCAAAUCGGAGCAUGCAUGUGGAUUUAUCAAAGUUUCAUCAUGUUAUUCGAUGUCCAUAGGUCAAACUUUGUUACCUCUGGAUAUUGGAGUCUUAGCCAAUGUAUUUUCUCAUCAAUGAUCAUUUCUGAUCCUCACAAGCCUAGGUAAAACUCCUUCAUCGAUUCUCCCUCAUUUCUUUCUCAUUUCACCCGAUUAUGCUUACAUCAUCAACUCAUUAUCAUCUUUCACUCACAAUUUGAAUCUAUUGAAACCCUUAGGCAUUGAAUGCCCCUAUAAAUAGGGUCUUCAAUGCCCACACCUAACAAUCACAAAAAUGCCUAAAAACAGAAGAAAUCAAUACGCAAUAAAAGCUAUGUUUAGAACUCUUUUGACUAAGGCUAAGUUCUUACUCAAUUUUUGAUUUUUCUUUGGUUCUUAGUUAAUCAUUGAUUGAAGUUUUGAGUUCUUUAGCACACAUGAAUCAAUCAAUGCCAAUGCAAAUAGGUAGUUCCCCCCCGACAAAGUAAGGCAGGAUACUCAUCUUGACUAGGCCAACCCAACCCUCGAAAUCGCUUUUCCCUUAAAACAUGCCUCCACAUGGCUCAAAUCUACCCAAAAUAGACUUUGUAUCAUAAACCAAUUCACGAGAAAAUAAUUACAAUAAAUAAAGCUUUGAUCUUUAUACUUUUUCCAAGAAGUCAAUAAAAGUCAACCCGGUGCUCGUCCGAUCAAAACCUGAGUCCAAUGGUAGAUUCAAACUACUCAUGACCCCAUAAAUUCAUAUAUGUAAUUAGUUUCAAAAUCCGAGUACAAAUUGAAUCUCAAAAGUUAAGUUCUUACUUUUCAAAAUUUUGACAAGGUUUCACAAAUUUUCACUUGAUUCACAUAAUUUUGAUGUUAAAAUCUAAGAUAUAUUGAUGGAAUAUGAUUAGAAAUAGAUUAGAAUCAAUUACUCAAAGUUUGUAGGUGAAAAUCCCUCUCUAAAUCACCUAUAACCAAGUCUAGAGUUCUAAAAUGAUAGAAUAUGAUAUGGAAUCCCGACUUUCAACUCUUUUGAUCAGUCGCAAAUGUCGCAAUUGUGAAAUAAUUCAAAAUGUGGCACCGUCAGUCCUAUGAGGAGGUCGCAAAAUGUGACUGUUUUGUCGCAAAUGCAAGCAACCCUCUACCUUAAGCUACUUUGCAAUUUGUGAGCCAGGUAUCACAAUUGCGAUACUUGAGGCUCCCCACUAAGCUUGCAAUUGCGAACCUGGUAUUCGCAAAUGUGAUACUAGAGGCUGCUGCACACCAGAUUUCUGGUUUUCAAUCCAAAACACUCUGUUGUAUGUCCAAAGCUCACCCGAGCCUUUGAGGUUCCAAACCAAACAUCCACACAAGUCUAAAGACAUCAUACGAACUCGCUUGCACGAUCAAACAUAUAAAAAUAAUAUCUAAAACUAGAAAAGGGCCAAGAAUGUCCUUGAACUAUUAGAAAUAGAUCAAUAAUACCCUCCGUUUACCUUUUGGCCCAAAAAAACCCUUACCGUCAGUCAAUUGGAGCAAAAAUGUCCUUCAUAACUAACGAAGCACCACUUCAGACAGCCUAGAAAACCAGAACCUUCCAAUCACCCGAUUCUUCCUUGAACAACUCUAACACCACAUAAAUUUAUGCUCCGAGUGUGUCGAAAGUAUUGGUUUCGAUUGAAUUCGGUAGUUCUAUGGUGCAUCUGCCCCUAACAUCAGCCCUCUACCAUUGCUUCACUUGCACAUUGGAUCAUCAACCACUUCCAGCUUUAAAUCAAUAGAAAAAAAGAAGAAGACCCCUACUGCAAAAGAUGCCCAAACUGAAAUCAUCAACAAAAAUCUCUCCACUUCCAUCCUUUUCUGGUGACAACUUCCGAUGGGGGGUGAGAAAGAGAAAUGCUCCCGGGCAACAAUGGUAUCUCUGCUCCCUUCAAAAUUAUUUUAGUUAAUGUAGAUGGUGAGAGUAGGUCUCACAAAUGAUGGAGAAGCGAAAUUUUUGGGAGUAGUCUUGGUCCUCGAAAGAAAUAGAAGGUAGCCGGUUCUUUUCCUUUUUAUGGUGAUUGGUGAAGGUGAAGGCAUGGUGGAUUUUUUGAUGGUUUUGCUGUAGGUUUAGAUAUGAAUAUAAUAUUUGAACAAGAAACUAAAAAGAAUCUAUAGCAAUUUAUUUAGUGGACCUUCAAAGCUUUUAGUAGCUUCAAUGGUAGUCACUAGCAAUGGUUUAAUUUUUGGAAAAUGAUGUGCAUGAUAAAAGAAUGAAGAGUCCGUCCACGCUGGAGUUCCAUAUCACACAUAUUAUAACAUUUUUAAUUUUGGUUCAUCUGAUGGUGGUGCUUCGUUUAUUGGAAAUGAUUUUUUUGCUCCAAUUGAUUAAAGGGCUUUUUUGGGCCAAAAGAUAAAUGGUGUGCAUUAUUGAUCUA
rnacentral:lncRNA from 1 species